rnacentral:rRNA from 1 species
AUUGAACGCUGGCGGCAUGCCUAACACAUGCAAGUCGAACGGCAGCACGGUCUAGUUUACUAGAUGGGUGGCGAGUGGCGGACGGGUGAGUAAUGCGCAGGAAUAUGCCUUAAAGAGGGGGAUAACUUGGGGAAACUCAAGCUAAUACCGCAUAAUCUCUGAGGAGAGAAGCUGGGGACCUUCGGGCCUGGCGCUUUAAG